rnacentral:rRNA from 1 species
AUUGAACGCUGGCGGCAGGCCUAACACAUGCAAGUCGAGCGGUAACACAGGGAGCUUGCUCCCGGGUGACGAGCGGCGGACGGGUGAGUAAUGUCUGGGAAACUGCCUGAUGGAGGGGGAUAACUACUGGAAACGGUAGCUAAUACCGCAUAACGUCGCAAGACCAGAGAGGGGGACCUUCGGGCCUCUUGCCAUCAGAUGUGCACAGAUGGGAUUAGCUAGUAGGUGGGGUAAUGGCUCACCUAGGCGACGAUCCCUAGCUGGUCUGAGAGGAUGACCAGCCACACUGGAACUGAGACACGGUCCAGACUCCUACGGGAGGCAGCAGUGGGGAAUAUUGCACGAUGGGCGCAAGCCUGAUGCAGCCAUGCCGCGUGUAUGAAGAAGGCCUUCGGGUUGUAAAGUACUUUCAGCGGGGAGGAAGGCGAUAAGGUUAAUAACCUUGUCGAUUGACGUUACCCGCAGAAGAAGCACCGGCUAACUCCGUGCCAGCCGCCGCGGUAAGAC